rnacentral:rRNA from 1 species
GAUGAACGCUGGCGGCGUGCCUAAUACAUGCAAGUCGAGCGAACGGACGAGAAGCUUGCUUUUCUGAUGUUAGCGGCGGACGGGUGAGUAACACGUGGAUAACCUACCUAUAAGACUGGGAUAACUUCGGGAAACCGGAGCUAAUACCGGAUAAUAUUUUGAACCGCAUGGUUCAAAAGUGAAAGACGGUCUUGCUGUCACUUAUAGAUGGAUCCGCGCUGCAUUAGCUAGUUGGUAAGGUAACGGCUUACCAAGGCAACGAUGCAUAGCCGACCUGAGAGGGUGAUCGGCCACACUGGAACUGAGACACGGUCCAGACUCCUACGGGAGGCAGCAGUAGGGAAUCUUCCGCAAAGGGCGAAAGCCUGACGGAGCAACGCCGCGUGAGUGAUGAAGGUCUUCGGAUCGUAAAACUCUGUUAUUAGGGAAGAACAUAUGUGUAAGUAACUGUGCACAUCUUGACGGUACCUAAUCAAAAAGCCACGGCUAACUACGCG